rnacentral:tRNA from 1 species
UCCCUGGUGGUCCUGUGGCUAAGACUCUGCGUUUCCAAUGCAAAGGGCCUGGGUUCCAUUCCUGGUCGAGGAA